UUUGUCUCUCAAGUCCCUCAAGAAAGUUCAUGCUCCAACAAGGGGCAUCAUGUUUAUCAUGGAACCAAGGCAGAAGGUCGGAAGGGCUCCCUGGCAAAACUCCAACAGGCCUAUGUACUGGCAGGAACGAACAGUGGGAUGGAGCCACAGUGCCUGGCCCCUCCUCUUCCUGUGUGCAAACUGAGAUUCAGACUACGAGCUCAUGACUCUAUGACUUGGCUGGACAGUUCUGCUGAUCUUGGCUGGGCUUAACUAAGCAGUUCUUCUUCUCUUGGCUGGGGGGACUCAUAAGUCUGACCGUGCACUCGCUUUUAGUUCAUGUGGAAGGGUCUUGGCUGAGAUGACUGGCUUUGCUCCACAUGGUCUCUCAUCCUCCAGUCAGCUAGGCCAGGCUUGUUCUCAUGAUGGAGAGAAUAGAGAGCAGAGGUGUUAUAAGCCCUCACAAGGCCUGGUUCCAAGGCAAGGCCACAUUCUAUUGACUAAAGUAAAUCAAAAGGCCAACCCAGAUUGAAGGAACAGGAAAACAGACUAUACUCUUGAUGGAAGAAGCAGCAAAAUCACAUUGCAAAGGUCACAGAUUCAGGGAUGGGUAGAGAAUUGAGGUUGUUUUCUCAGUCAAAAAGUAGGCACUCUGAGCCAUCUAUUUUAGGAGCAAAAUUCUAUGUUCAUUUUAUGUUUUUCCAUACUGGUUACUUAUGAAGGCCAAGGAAUCUCAUUGGAACUCAGGACAGAGUAUUGCUGUGGGAAGAUUUUAAGCCCUCUUUGGAUACGCAUUUUAGCAACUUAUGCACACUGGUUGGGAGGAGGAGGGGGUGUGCAGAUCUUCUCUAAUAAUGACUGCCUUGAAGUCUGGUGGUUGACUGCUGACGAAUUUGCUCUGUUAGAUUGAGCCGAAUCCUGGAUAGAAGUGAGAUAGAUUUGUGAGAAAUUUAUUAGAGUUGUGACAAUUUGGCAUCUGCUAGGGCAAAGAUUUCAAUCAUGUGGAGAAAGAAAAGAUUGUCAAAAAUGU